GAUGAACGCUGACAGAAUGCUUAACACAUGCAAGUCUACUUGAAGUAACUUCGGUUAUGGAUGGUGGCGGACGGGUGAGUAACGCGUAAAUAACUUGCCCCCUAGUCUGGGACAACUGUUGGAAACGACAGCUAAUACUAGAUAUUAUGAGACCUUGGCAUCAAGGAUUUAUGAAAGCUAUAUGCGCUAGGGGAGAGAUUUGCGUCCUAUUAGCUAGUUGGUGAGGUAAUGGCUCACCAAGGCGACGAUAGGUAGCCGGCCUGAGAGGGUGAACGGCCACAAGGGGACUGAGACACGGCCCUUACUCCUACGGGAGGCAGCAGUGGGGAAUAUUGGACAAUGGACCAAAAGUCUGAUCCAGCAAUUCUGUGUGCUUGAUGAAGGCCU
rnacentral:rRNA from 1 species